AGGGAGGGGGGGUGAAAAGGCUACAAAAGAAAUUUCUGUCUAUUGCACUCUCUUUAUUCUUUUACCAUGGUAUCACUGCAAAGCACUGGAAUAUCCCCCGAGUGCUCUGUGGAAAGCUGUGCCUCACCCACCUGCAGAUAUCAGAUUGGAGUGUCUGCAGAGUUGUUGCCCACAGCAGCUCAAGGGCCACCUCAGAACAGUGCUGGGAGGUCCACAAGUGCUCAGCCUUGCUCUUGGGGCUGCAGGGAAAUGAAUGAAGGAAGACAUGAGAGCAAGAAGUAAAGCUGCUGCUCUGCUCCUGCCCACCCACGUGUGGCUCUGUGAAAGUUGUAGUGACCCCCUGGAAGUGCUGGAGCCCUUGCUCUGAGGGAGCAGGAACAAGGAGGUGCUUGAGGGACCCUUUCUCCUGCUCAGAUGCUACAGGAGAAGAGGAUGAGCUGGUACAGACCUGGCUUUUCCUGGCAGCCUGCUCAGAAGGUGCAGCUGUGGAAGAGGAAACAUCUCCUUAUCUGGUACAAGGUCUUAUGCUAUGGGGACACAGACUUCUCUCUGUCUUGUCAGCCUCAAAGGAGACAGAAGGAAAAGUUGAGCUAAACACCAGCUGACAGAAGCGACUCCUUCAAGUGAGCUGUUUCACCACAACUCUCAGCACUUGCCUAUCU